rnacentral:rRNA from 1 species
UACGAGUGCCUCAAGCGUUAUCCGGAAUCAUUGGGCGUAAAGGAUGUGUAGGUGGUUGUGUUAGUCUUGUGUUAAAUUCUUCGGCUUAACCGGGGGCAUGCACGGGAAACGGCACGACUAGAGGAUGCGAGGGGUCUGCGGAACUCAUAGUGUAGCGGUAAAAUGCGUUGAUAUUAUGGGGAACACCAAAAGCGAAGGCAGCAGACUGGAGCACUCCUGACACUGAAACAUGAAAGCGUGGGUCGCGAAUGGG